GUGAACGCUGGCGGUAGGCCUAACACAUGCAAGUCGAACGGCAGCACAGUAAGAGCUUGCUCUUACGGGUGGCGAGUGGCGGACGGGUGAGGAAUACAUCGGAAUCUACUUUUUCGUGGGGGAUAAAGUAGGGAAACUUACGCUAAUACCGCAUACGACCUACGGGUGAAAGCAGGGGAUCUUCGGACCUUGCGCGAUUGAAUGAGCCGAUGUCGGAUUAGCUAGUUGGCGGGGUAAAGGCCCACCAAGGCGACGAUCCGUAGCUGGUCUGAGAGGAUGAUCAGCCACACUGGAACUGAGACACGGUCCAGACUCCUACGGGAGGCAGCAGUGGGGAAUAUUGGACAAUGGGCGCAAGCCUGAUCCAGCCAUACCGCGUGGGUGAAGAAGGCCUUCGGGUUGUAAAGCCCUUUUGUUGGGAAAGAAAAGCAGCAGGUUAAUACCCCGCUGUUCUGACGGUACCCAAAGAAUAAGCACCGGCUAACUUCGUG
rnacentral:rRNA from 1 species